rnacentral:misc_RNA from 1 species
GAUGAAGAACGCAGCGAAAUGCGAUAAGUAAUGUGAAUUGCAGAAUUCAGUGAAUCAUCGAAUCUUUGAACGCACAUUGCGCCCUCUGGUAUUCCGGGGGGCAUGCCUGUUCGAGCGUCAUUACAACCCUCAAGCUUUGCUUGGUAUUGGACAUUGCCAGUUUCUGGCAGGUCUUAAAAUCAGUGGCGGUGCCAUUUGGCUUCAAGCGUAGUAAUUCUUCUCGCUUUGGAGAUCCAAGUGGUUACUUGCCAAUAACCCCCAAUUUGUUCAGGUUGACCUCGGAUCAGGUAGGGAUACCCGCUGAACUUAAGCAUAUCAAUAAGCGGAGGA